CUUGCUCAGUUUUUAUAUUUGCUUUUAUACUUUUAUGACUGUUUAUGUCUAAAUUUUAUCUACCAUGUUUGCUAUAUAUACAUUUUUCUUAUGUUUUUUAUGGUAUGUUUACGUGUUACUGUAAGGUGACCUUGAGGGUCUGAAAGGCGCCUAUAAAUAAAAUGUAUUAUUAUUAUUAUUAUUAUUAUUAUUUUAAUGCAAAGAAAGUGAGAGGGAUGAAAUACAAAUUUUAAUAUAAUGAAUAAUUGAUAAUGGAGAAAACUCCAGUCAUGUACUGCAAAAUCUCUGAAAUGUGCUGAAUUUUUGCUUUGAAACUUUGAUAUUUCAGGAGGACAAGUCUCUAUUAAACCACCCCUUUUCAAAAAGUUAUAAAUUAUUCGUUAUAUAAGUAGGGAAUGAAUCUUUUAUUACUGUUUUGCACCAUAACCGAGCUAUAAAAGGGAACUUGUGGACUUCCUUGUUGUGAAAAAUCCUUUUAGCUUGUGUUUAUCCUCUUCUACUUGUGUUGCCUUUUUACCUUGUAAAAUGAAACUUUCUGCAAAUAGGCAACAUAACCAAAUUUCAUUGAUAGUGCAUCAAUGCAGCCUCCGACUUGUAAAGCAGUUUGUUUGUUUGUUUUUGUUUGUUUUUUUUUGCCUGUCCCGUUUGGCUCUUUUGCCAUCAGAAUUAUUGUCUAAAGGUGAAGAAAGAUGCCCAACGGAUUUACUUUACCAAAUUGACCAUCCCAGCCUUGCCGUAAUGGUCCAUUUGAUUCACCUUUUAUUGUUUAUUUUAUUUUCACUUGCUGAAUACGGGACAGACUUGACUGGGGGAAAGAAGGGGAGAAAGAAAGAGGGAAAGAAAAACAGCUGAGAAGAGGGACGGGGGAGAAGGGCAAAAGACAAAAACCAACAGAAUGAGCAGAAAAAAAAAUGCAUAUAUCAAUCACCUGGAUCACCUGUUGAGAAAGAAAAAAGAAAACAAGCAGAAGAAAACGAGAGUAAUAGAAUAAACAACAUCACAAUGAUAUAUGGGAAUAUGACAGUAAAUACUAAAUAUUAAACAUUAUUGUGCAGCACAUAAGAACGACAGCACACAGUGCGCUUUGAGUUAGGAGCCAAAAAGGGUGUAGUUUGUGUGUGUGAUCACC
ensembl:lncRNA